CAGCUGUGUUGUGUGCACAAAGCGAACUAUUCUUUCGCCUUUUACUAAAGAAUACCGUGUGCACGCAACUAAUAACAGCAUACGCCUUAUUUUUGGAGGGUUAUCAUCAAUUGAUAGCCC